rnacentral:rRNA from 1 species
CAGGGAUUGCCCUAGUAACGGCGAGUGAAGCGGCAACAGCUCAAAUUUGAAAUCUGGCUCUUUCAGAGUCCGAGUUGUAAUUUGCAGAGGGCGCUUUGGUGUUGGCAGCGGUCCAAGUUCUUUGGAACAGGACGUCACAGAGGGUGAGAAUCCCGUACGUGGUCGCUAGCCCUCACCGUGUAAAGCCCCUUCGACGAGUCGAGUUGUUUGGGAAUGCAGCUCUAAAUGGGAGGUAAAUUUCUUCUAAAGCUAAAUACUGGCCAGAGACCGAUAGCGCACAAGUAGAGUGAUCGAAAGAUGAAAAGCACUUUGGAAAGAGAGUCAAAUAGCACGUGAAAUUGUUGAAAGGGAAGCGCUUGCAGCCAGACUUGCCUGUAGUUGCUUAUCUAGACUUUUGUCUAGUGCACUCUUCUAUAGGCAGGCCAGCAUCAGUUUGGGCGGUUGGAUAAAGGUCUCUGUCAUGUACCUCCUUUCGGGGAGGCCUUAUAGGGGAGACGACAUGCAACCAGCCUGGACUGAGGUCCGCGCAUCUGCUAGGAUGCUGGCGUAAUGGCUGUAAGCGGCCCGUCUUGAAACACGGACCAAGGAGUCUAACAUCUAUGCGAGUGUUUGGGUGUCAAGCCCAUACGCGUAAUGAAAGUGAACGGAGGUGGGAACCUUAGGGUGCACCAUCGACCGAUCCUGAUGUCUUCGGAUGGAUUUGAGUAAGAGCAUGGCUGUUGGGACCCGAAAGAUGGUGAACUAUGCUUGAAUAGGGUGAAGCCAGAGGAAACUCUGGUGGAGGCUCGCAGCGGUUCUGACGUGCAAAUCGAUCGUCAAAUUUGGGCAUAGGGGCGAAAGACUAAUCGAAC